rnacentral:lncRNA from 1 species
AGCCCCAACCCUGAAUCCACUCGACUACUAUGGUGAAGACUCCCUCAAAGAGGAUACAGUCCGCCCCCAGCACCCAUCUCGCGUACGUGAUUCCCUCCCAUGCUACCUUGAGCUCGCAACAACAACAGAGGUGUCAAAUAUCCUCUGGCCUCCAGGUGCUAUCAACCUGGCCUCGUAGUCCCUGAUAAAGAAGCCCAUGCCUCCAGUGCCCCCUUCCUCACCAACGCUGCCGUCGAAAUUCACUUUGAGAA